rnacentral:rRNA from 1 species
UACGAAGGGGGCUAGCGUUGCUCGGAAUCACUGGGCGUAAAGCGCACGUAGGCGGCUUUUUAAGUCAGGGGUGAAAUCCUGGAGCUCAACUCCAGAACUGCCUUUGAUACUGAAGAGCUUGAGUCCGGGAGAGGUGAGUGGAACUGCGAGUGUAGAGGUGAAAUUCGUAGAUAUUCGCAAGAACACCAGUGGCGAAGGCGGCUCACUGGCCCGGUACUGACGCUGAGGUGCGAAAGCGUGGGGAGCGAACAGG